rnacentral:SRP_RNA from 1 species
GCCGGGCAUGGUGGUGCGCGCCGGUAGUCCCAUCUACUCGGGAGGUUGAGGCAGGAGAAUUGCCUGAAGCCAGGAGGCGGAGGUUGCGGUGAGCCGAGAUCGCGCCAUUGCACUCCAGCCUGGGUAACAAGAGCGAAACUCCGUCUCAAAAAAAAAAAAGAAUUAGUAAUUACAUUAAAUUUUCUUUUUGCCUUUGGAUAAAUAGUUAAGCAGUAAACCAUUUUAUUUUUUCUUUUUUGAGACGGAGUUUCGCUCUUGUUACCCAGGCUGGAGUGCAAUGGCGCGAUCUCGGCUCACCGCAACCUCCGCCUCCUGGCUUCAGGCAAUUCUCCUGCCUC